AUGACACGGAGUUCAGUUUGUUUAUUCCCUGAAGAACUUUCAUCCUCUAUCCAUCUUUUAGUCCUACAAAUGGAAGUAUUGCAUUGUAACUUAUUCCGCAGUUUGACUUCAACAAUUCUGUCCAGUAAUAGGAGUUUCUUUUUACCUUUCAUUCAGAUAGUUGGUGUUUGCAAAGUUUAUGGGGGCCUCAAUUGUCAAUAUCAAGAACCCAGGAACUCUUUGAGCUUCCUUGUACUGAUGGAGGUUUCGGAAGACGAGAAGGGUGGAUACGAUGACGGAUGCCAAGGGAGCACACGCUGA
rnacentral:rRNA from 1 species